GAUCAUUAAUGAAAAUGCUAUUUUUCAUUGGCCUAUCAAUACCCCUUUGUCUACCUACCAUGUUGCUUCCACUGGACAGUCAAUCUCGAAAGGGAAAGACCUCUGGCUCCGCUAUUUACUUAGAGAAGCUGGGGAGUGCUGGUGGAUAGCCAAAACCAAAACCCUAAAACCGAAAUCUACCUUAUAGUCUGAAAAAAUUUAUAAAUCAUUUAUAAAACUUUCAACAACGGAUCUCUAGGCUCUUGCAUCGAUGAAGAACGCAGUGAAAUGCGAUACGUAAUGUGAAUUGCAGAAUCUCGUGAAUCAUUGAAUCUUUGAACGCACAUUGCGCCUUAUGGUAUUCCAUAAGGCAUGCCUGUCUGAGCGUCAGCUCCCCCCCUCUCAAGCUUUUAAAUUUUUUUUAAUUGCUUGGAAUUCUUUGGAAAAGCGGUCCUCUCCAGGACGGCCUUCCACAAAGACAUAGGCAGUAUGGUUGUUUUUCCAGGCUGAACGUAAUAAUUGAAAAAGUCACGUUUACUUUGGAGCUUUCGUACUUGCCUUUAACCCACCCUUUACAAAUAUUUUUUGGGUGACCUCAGAUCAGGUAGGGAUACCCGCUGAACUUAAGCAUAUCAAUAAGCGGAGGAAAAGAAACCAACAGGGAUUGCCUCAGUAACGGCGAGUGAAGCGGCAAAAGCUCAGAUUUGAAAUCUGGCGUCAUUUUGGCGUCCGAGUUGUAAUCUGUAGAGGAGUAUUCGAGUGUGGAUUUGGCUUAAGUUCCUUGGAACAGGACGUCAUAGAGGGUGAGAACCCCGUUAACGGCCUAUGUCUUAUGCUCAUGUGAAUCUUCUUCAACGAGUCGAGUUGUUUGGGAAUGCAGCUCUAAAUGGGUGGUAAAUUCCAUCUAAAGCUAAAUACUGGCAAGAGACCGAUAGCGCACAAGUAGAGUGAUCGAAAGAUGAAAAGAACUCUGAACAGAGAGUUAAAUAGUACGUGAAAUUGUUGAAAGGGAAGCACUUGCUACCAGACACGCCUGUAGUUGAUCAACCUCCAUUCUUGGUGGUGCACUCGGCUAUAGGUGGGUCAGCAUCAGUUACAACGGUGGGAUAAAGACUUUGGGAAUGUAGCUUCUUUCGGGAAGUGUUAUAGCCCUUGGUGUAAUACCAUCUGAUGUGACUGAGGCCCGC
rnacentral:rRNA from 1 species